GGGCGCAGCCGUCUGGUGGCGUAGGCCUUCGGAGCCUGAGGUCGGGGGUUCGAAUCCCCUCGGGCCCG
rnacentral:tRNA from 1 species